GAUGAACGCUGGCGGCGUGCCUAAUACAUGCAAGUCGAGCGAACAGACGAGGAGCUUGCUCCUCUGACGUUAGCGGCGGACGGGUGUGUAACACGUGGAUAACCUACCUAUAAUACUGGGAUAACUUCGGGAAACCGGAGCUAAUACCGGAUAAUAUAUUGAACCGCAUGGUUCAAUAGUGAAAGACGGUUUUGCUGUCACUUAUAGAUGGAUCCGCGCCGCAUUAGCUAGUUGGUAAGGUAACGGCUUACCAAGGCAACGAUGCGUAGCCGACCUGAGAGGGGGAUAGGCCACACGGGAACGGAGACACGGUCCAGAGUCCUACGGGAGGCAGCAGUAGGGAAUGGGCCGCAAUAGGCGAAAGCCUGACGGAGCAGCGCCGCGUGAGUGGUGAAGGUCUUCGGAUCGUAAAACUCUGUUAUGAGGGAAAAACAAAUGUGUAAGUAACUAUGCACGUCGUGACGGUACCUAAUCAGAAAGCCACGGCUAACUACGUG
rnacentral:rRNA from 1 species